rnacentral:rRNA from 1 species
AACGAACGCUGGCGGCAGGCUUAACACAUGCAAGUCGAGCGCCCCGCAAGGGGAGCGGCAGACGGGUGAGUAACGCGUGGGAAUCUACCCAUCUCUACGGAAUAACGCAUGGAAACGUGUGCUAAUACCGUAUACGUCCUUCGGGAGAAAGAUUUAUCGGAGAUGGAUGAGCCCGCGUUGGAUUAGCUAGUUGGUGGGGUAAAGGCCUACCAAGGCGACGAUCCAUAGCUGGUCUGAGAGGAUGAUCAGCCACACUGGGACUGAGACGCGGCCCAGACUCCUACGGGAGGCAGCAGUGGGGAAUAUUGGACGAUGGGCGCAAGCCUGAUCCAGCCAUGCCGCGUGAGUGAUGAAGGCCCUAGGGUUGUAAAGCUCUUUCACCGGUGAAGAUAAUGACGGUAACCGGAGAAGAAGCCCCGGCUAACUUCGUGCCAGCAGCCGCGGUAACAC